AGAGUUUGAUCAUGGCUCAGGAUGGACGCUAGCGGGAGGCUUAACACAUGCAAGUCGAGGGGCAGUCCCGAUAGUAAUAUCGGGAGCGACCGGCGCACGGGUGAGUAACGCGUAUGCAACCUAUCCUGUACUGGAAAAUAACCCGGAGAAAUUCGGACUAAUAUUCCAUAAUGAUAUUGAGAGGCAUCUUUUAAUAUUUAAAGUUCCGACGGUACGGGCUGGGCAUGCGUAACAUUAGCUAGUUGGCAGGGUAACGGCCUACCAAGGCAACGAUGUUUAGGGGUCCUGAGAGGGUGAUCCCCCACACUGGUACUGAGACACGGACCAGACUCCUACGGGAGGCAGCAGUGAGGAAUAUUGGUCAAUGGGCGCAAGCCUGAACCAGCCAUCCCGCGUGAAGGAAGAAGGCGCUAUGCGUUGUAAACUUCUUUUCCAGGGGAAUAAAAUUUUGUACGUGUACGGAAUUGAAGGUACCCUGGGAAUAAGCAUCGGCUAACUCCGUGCCAGCAGCCGCGGUAAUACGGAGGAUGCAAGCGUUAUCCGGAUUUAUUGGGUUUAAAGGGUGCGCAGGCGGAAAGAUAAGUCAGUGGUGAAAUCCUGCAGCUUAACUGUAGAAUUGCCGUUGAUACUGUUUUUCUUGAGUGUGGUCAAGGAAGGCGGAAUGUGUAAUGUAGCGGUGAAAUGCUUAGAUAUUACACAGAACACCAAUUGCGAAGGCAGCUUUCUGGGCCGUGACUGACGCUCAUGCACGAAAGCGUGGGGAUCGAACAGGAUUAGAUACCCUGGUAGUCCACGCCGUAAACGAUGAUCACUAGCUGUUGGCGAUACACAGUCAGCGGCAAAGCAAAAGCAUUAAGUGAUCCACCUGGGGAGUACGGCCGCAAGGCUGAAACUCAAAGGAAUUGACGG
rnacentral:rRNA from 1 species